AUGUCACCGUCCAUCGCCCGGUGGUGCAGUGCGGCGCGCCCUUCCCUCCUCUGCGACGCGCCCUUCCCUCCCUUCCGGCACGAACUUCCCUCUACGCCACCUCGACCUUCCCUCCCCUUCGGUGCAGCCUGCCCUCUGCUCCGGCGCGCCCUCCUACUCCUCCUGCACGUGCGCCAUGAACCUGGCCUUCGACCGCGAGCUCAUCGGCCCGCCCAUAUACUUCGGACUCAUGGGCGACGGCCAGCCCAUCGGAUGCUACGACGACAUGUGGCCGACUGGUACGUCAAGGUGAUCUGCGACCACCUUGGGCUAGGAGUCAAGACGGGGCUGCCCUACAUCUGGCACAGCAAGGCCAGCAACCCGUUCAUGAACCUGAAUGAGUACAAGGGCAUCUUCUGGCAGGAGGACAUCAUCCCCUUCUUCUAG
rnacentral:rRNA from 1 species